CCUACGAGAGGCUGCAGUGAGGAAUAUUGGUCAAUAGACGAGAGUCUGAACCAGCCAAGUAGCGUGAAGGAUGACUGCCCUAUGGGUUGUAAACUUCUUUUAUAUGGGAAUAAAAUGUUCCACGUGUGGGAUUUUGUAUGUACCAUAUGAAUAAGGAUCGGCUAACUCCGUGCCAGCAGCCGCGGUAAUACGGAGGAUCCGAGCGUUAUCCGGAUUUAUUGGGUGUAAAGGGAGCGUAGGUGGAUUGUUAAGUUAGUUGUGAAAGUUUGCGGCUCAACCGUAAAAUUGCAGUUGACACUGGCAGUCUUGAGUACAGUAGAGGUGGGCGGAAUGCGUGGUGUAGCGGUGAAAUGCUUAGAUAUCACGAAGAACUCCGAUUGCGAAGGCAGUUCACUGGACUGCAACUGACACUGAGGCUCGAAAGUGUGGGUAUCAAACAGGAUUAGAUACCCUAGUAGUC
rnacentral:rRNA from 1 species